UUGACACUGGUGCUACUCAUUCGUUUAUUUCGUAUGAGUGUGCGACCAGAUUGGUGUGAUUAUGUCGUCCCUAGGCGGAAGUAUGGUGAUAGAUACUCCUGCUAAUGGUUCUGUGAAAACUUCUGUUGUCUGUCGAGGUUGUCAUUUGACGAUCUUUGAGAGAGAGUUCGUGGUUGAUUUGGUGUGCUUGCCCUUGCACCAAAUUGAUA
rnacentral:lncRNA from 1 species